GUUAAGCAUCCCGCCUGGGGAGUACGGCCGCAAGGCUAAAACUCAAAGAAAUUGACGGGGGCCCGCACAAGCGGCGGAGCAUGCGGAUUAAUUCGAUGCAACGCGAAGAACCUUACCUGGGCUUGACAUGUUCCCGACGAUCCCAGAGAUGGGGUUUCCUUCGGGGCGGGUUCACAGGUGGUGCAUGGUCGUCGUCAGCUCGUGUCGUGAGAUGUUGGGUUAAGUCCCGCAACGAGCGCAACCCUCGCCCCGUGUUGCCAGCGGAUUGUGCCGGGAACUCACGGGAGACCGCCGGGGUUAACUCGGAGGAAGGUGGGGAUGACGUCAGAUCAUCAUGCCCCUUACGUCCAGGGCUUCACGCAUGCUACAAUGGCCGGUACAACGGGAUGCGACGCGGCGACGCGGAGCGGAUCCCUGAAAACCGGUCUCAGUUCGGAUCGCAGUCUGCAACUCGACUGCGUGAAGGCGGAGUCGCUAGUAAUCGCGAAUCAGCAACGUCGCGGUGAAUGCGUUCCCGGGCCUUGUACACACCGCCCGUCAAGUCAUGAAAGUGGGCAGCACCCGAAGCCGGUGGCCUAACCCCUUGUG
rnacentral:rRNA from 1 species